rnacentral:rRNA from 1 species
GAUGAACGCUAGCGGCAGGCCUAACACAUGCAAGUCGAGGGGCAGCAUAAAAUAAACUUGUUUAUUUGGUGGCGACCGGCGCACGGGUGCGUAACGCGUAUGCAACCUACCUUAUACUGGGGAAUAGCCCGAAGAAAUUCGGAUUAAUGCCCCAUAGUACUGAGACCUCUCCUGAGGAUUCAGUUAAAGCUUUGGCGGUAUAAGAUGGGCAUGCGUCCAAUUAGCUAGAUGGUGAGGUAACGGCUCACCAUGGCGACGAUUGGUAGGGGGCCUGAGAGGGUGGUCCCCCACACUGGUACUGAGACACGGACCAGACUCCUACGGGAGGCAGCAGUGAGGAAUAUUGGUCAAUGGGCGCAAGCCUGAACCAGCCAUGCCGCGUGAAGGAUGAAGGUUCUAUGGAUUGUAAACUUCUUUUAUUUGGGAAUAAACCUCUUUACGUGUAGAGAGCUGAAGGUACCAAAUGAAUAAGCACCGGCUAACUCCGUGCCAGCCGCCGCGUAACAC